rnacentral:rRNA from 1 species
AACGCGAAGAACCUUACCUAAGCUUGACAUCCUUUUGACCUCUCCCUAAUCGGAGAUUUCCCUUCGGGGACAAAAGUGACAGGUGGUGCAUGGUUGUCGUCAGCUCGUGUCGUGAGAUGUUGGGUUAAGUCCCGCAACGAGCGCAACCCUUGUCUCAUGUUGCCAGCGCGUAAUGGCGGGGACUCGUGAGAGACUGCCGGGGUCAACUCGGAGGAAGGUGGGGAUGACGUCAAGUCAUCAUGCCCCUUAUGUCCAGGGCUUCACACAUGCUACAAUGGCCGGUACAAAGGGCUGCGAUGCCGUGAGGUGGAGCGAAUCCUUUUUAAAGCCGGUCUCAGUUCGGAUCGGGGUCUGCAACUCGACCCCGUGAAGUCGGAGUCGCUAGUAAUCGCAGAUCAGCAACGCUGCGGUGAAUACGUUCCCGGGUCUUGUACACACCG